CAUUCAGCACACGCCAAGACCAAGUCAUUGUAGCGAAAGAGAUCAUGAUGACAUUGCAGUAAAGCCAGUACAUCAGGCAGCAGUGGGUCUGGCUUGUGAGUUGGGACAGGCUGCAGAAACAUCCCCAGAGUCAGCAUGUGAAUUCAACCAUGUUGCACAUAAAUUGGUUCAAGUGCGACUACCAACCAGCCAGAAAGCAUCACAAGCAAAUGGAAUGAAAAUUCUGUCAACAAUUGCUACACAAACAGAACCAUAUGCUGUUUCUUCAGGCUCCUUGUCUUUUGCGUCCUUGGAACGGUCCUCUUCCUUGGCAUGCGUACGAGGCCGACUCCAGUCCUGCCAGCAGUGCACCUAUGUGACCCUGGACAAAUUGACUAUGAGCAGACACCUUCAGAAACACAUGGGAGAGCCCCCCUUACAGUGCCACUUGUGUCCAGCGGCAUUCGCUAAGAAGUCCAAGCUGGUGGCUCACGUGUGCACCCACACAGCAGAGCGCCCCUUCUCUUGUGUCCACUGCAAUGCAUCCUUUAUGCAGAAAAACAACCUCGUGAGACACACAUACAUACACACUGGAGAGCGUCCAUUUUCCUGUGUCCGCUGCAGUGCAUCCUUUGUGCAAAAAAACGACCUCGUGAGACACAUGUACAUGCACACUGGAGAGCGCCCCUUCCCCUGUGUCCACUGCAAUGCGUCCUUUGUGCAGAAAAACAGCCUCGUGAGACACAUGUACACGCACACUGGAGAGCGUCCAUUUUCCUGUGUUCGCUGCAGUGCAUCCUUUGUGCAGAAAAACGACCUUGUAAGACACAUGUACAUGCACACUGGAGAGCGUCCAUUUUCCUGUGUCCGCUGCAGUGCAUCCUUUGUGCGGAAAAGCUGACCUCGUGAGACACAUGUACACGCACACUGGAGAGCGUCCAUUUUCCUGUGUCCGCUGCAGUGCAUCCUUUGUGCAG
rnacentral:misc_RNA from 1 species